AGCGGCGGACGGGUGAGUAACACGUGGGCAACCUGCCUGUAAGACUGGGAUAACUCCGGGAAACCGGAGCUAAUACCGGAUAGUAUCUUGAACCGCAUGGUUCAAGUUGGAAAGACGGUUUCGGCUGUCACUUACAGAUGGGCCCGCGGCGCAUUAGCUAGUUGGUGAGGUAAUGGCUCACCAAGGCAACGAUGCGUAGCCGACCUGAGAGGGUGAUCGGCCACACUGGGACUGAGACACGGCCCAGACUCCUACGGGAGGCAGCAGUAGGGAAUCUUCCGCAAUGGACGAAAGUCUGACGGAGCAACGCCGCGUGAGUGAUGAAGGUUUUCGGAUCGUAAAACUCUGUUGUUAGGGAAGAACAAGUGCGAGAGUAACUGCUCGCACCUUGACGGUACCUAACCAGAAAGCCACGGCUAACUACGUGCCAGCAGCCGCGGUAAUACGUAGGUGGCAAGCGUUGUCCGGAAUUAUUGGGCGUAAAGCGCGCGCAGGCGGUUUCUUAAGUCUGAUGUGAAAGCCCCCGGCUCAACCGGGGAGGGUCAUUGGAAACUGGGAAACUUGAGUGCAGAAGAGGAGAGUGGAAUUCCACGUGUAGCGGUGAAAUGCGUAGAGAUGUGGAGGAACACCAGUGGCGAAGGCGACUCUCUGGUCUGUAACUGACGCUGAGGCGCGAAAGCG
rnacentral:rRNA from 1 species